UCAGACGAUGCGUCAUGCAUAUCAAUAAGCGGAGGAAAAGAAACUAACAAGGAUUCCCUUAGUAACGGCGAGUGAAGCGGGAAGAGCUCAAAUUUGAAAUCUUCAAGGUUUUACCUUGACGAAUUGUAGUUUAAAGAAGUGUUUUCUGUUGGAGUUUUGGUAAAAGUUCUUUGGAAAAGGACAUCAUAGAGGGUGAGAAUCCCGUAUUUGACCAUUAUCUCCAGCUUUGUGAUACACUUUCAAAGAGUCGGAUUGUUUGGGAAUGCAGUCCAAAAUGGGUGGUAAAUUUCAUCUAAAGCUAAAUAUUGGCGAGAGACCGAUAGCGAACAAGUACCGUGAGGGAAAGAUGAAAAGAACUUUGAAAAGAGAGUUAAACAGUACGUGAAAUUGUCAAAAGGGAAGCGUUUGACACCAGUGUUGUUUUCUCGAAAAUCAAUUAAAAAGAGUUGGAUUUUGUGUUGUAUUGACCUUAACAGCUUGCUUCACUCUUUUCCUGCUUUUUUUAAUGCACUUUUCGUUUAACAAGUCAACAUCAGUUUCUUUUGUUGUAAAAGGGUCAUUGGAAGGUGGCUUUCUCUUCGGAGAAAGUGUUUAUAGCCUUUGAUCUCUGCAAUCGGAGAGACUGAGGUCUGCAGCGUAGAUCCUUCGGGGUUAGAUACAUUUGUGCUAAGCUACAGCUUUUCAUGGACAACUUGUUGACUAUGUUUAGUCUUGUAACUUACCCGCUUAUGCUAUUUUACCUACGCUUAGGAUGUUGAUAUGCAUGACUGAUAU
rnacentral:rRNA from 1 species